GAAAACAACCUAUGGAAUGGGAGAAAAUUUUUGCAAAAGGAAUUAACUUUUUGACUACCUCUUACAUGCCAGGCAUUCUGUUAGGUAGUUCAUAUUAACUGUCUUACCUGAAUUCUGUUAGAAUCCCCUAAGAAAACUCUCACAGGCAUUUUGCAGACGAGGGAAGCUGAGACCAGCUGUUAGAGUGCUUGGAGGUUCAUUUAACUUCUGUCUGUUGAUCUUCGUUUGCUGUGACCCCUGGAAGGACAUUAAAAAAUGAGGCCCCUCUUCUUUUCAAAGCUUUGCACGAGGCCAACAAUACUAUUGAGGAAGCUCCUUCGGUAUGAACUUGGACAAACGAUUCAACAUCUCAGCUGCCUUGGUCUCUGUGCCUGUGACAUAGAGCUGCAGGGAGAGCAGUGGUCUAUACACUCAGGACACCAGCAACUCAAUUCUGUGCAAAAAGCAGCUCUUGGGAAAAUGAAACCACAAGGUCUGGACAGAGGACUUCGUCAAUGCUCUGAUAACUCACUGGACACCAAGCAAAGGGAGUGUCAGCUAAUUGUGAAAACCAGGCCGAGAGGCACAUUCCAGUCUUUAUUUUCCUUUAAACGUGGCCACUGAUUGUGUAACCUUGUGAUAGCUGUUGCUCGCUGGUGCAAACGGGACCAUUCUCUCCACCCACAGAUAGAAGUGGAGGCAGGUGCUCAGGACCCGCGGAUGGGGCUGUCUUGAGACAGCAUCUCUCCUGACAGCCCUUUCCCGGAUCCCUUUCGAUUUUCCCCGGGGACCCAUGCAAGCCUCUCCUUUCCCUGUCUUCCAGAUUCCUCCUCACCCAUGAUGCCAGUUAACCAUAAGGCCGCCCAGGUCAUGGAAUCCAAGAAGUACUUUGGAUUAAGGAGAAAUCACUGGUAAAGUUAACCUUGGAAAAUGUGAUCAACACAGUUCUCUCUGCAUUAGGCUGACCAGAAGAAUAAUUUUGACCUUUAGUGCCAGAAGGAAAUUAAGCUGCUUGACUGAGCCAAAAACAAUAAGUAGUCUUUCAUUAAAGUGUGCCAGGCUUUGACGACGCAUGAGGGAGGCUGCAUGCAGGAAAAAGAAAGUUAACUUUGGACGUUGAGGAGAACAAGGGGAAGAUGCAAGUUGUCUUGUAGCUUUUAGUUUUUCGUAAUGGAUCGAUAAAAUUGCUGUGUGUUUAAAAUAUAUGUAUAUGUUUCUUAUUAAAUCACAGCAUCACAGAGUAUUAUUAAUAAAGGUGGUUUGGAUUCA